rnacentral:rRNA from 1 species
UAGUGGCGAACGGGUGAGUAACACGUGGGCAAUCUGCCCUUCACUCUGGGACAAGCCCUGGAAACGGGGUCUAAUACCGGAUAACACUGCGGAUCGCAUGGUCUGCGGUUAAAAGCUCCGGCGGUGAAGGAUGAGCCCGCGGCCUAUCAGCUUGUUGGUGAGGUAGUGGCUCACCAAGGCGACGACGGGUAGCCGGCCUGAGAGGGCGACCGGCCACACUGGGACUGAGACACGGCCCAGACUCCUACGGGAGGCAGCAGUGGGGAAUAUUGCACAAUGGGCGAAAGCCUGAUGCAGCGACGCCGCGUGAGGGAUGACGGCCUUCGGGUUGUAAACCUCUUUCAGCAGGGAAGAAGCGAAAGUGACGGUACCUGCAGAAGAAGCGCCGGCUAACUACGUGCCAGCAGCCGCGGUAAUACGUAGGGCGCAAGCGUUGUCCGGAAUUAUUGGGCGUAAAGAGCUCGUAGGCGGCUUGUCACGUCGAUUGUGAAAGCCCGAGGCUUAACCUCGGUUCUGCAGUCGAUACGGGCUAGCUAGAGUGUGGUAGGGGAGAUCGGAAUUCCU